GAUUGAACGCUGGCGGCGUGCUUAACACAUGCAAGUCGAUCGGUAACAGGUGUAGCAAUACAUGCUGACGAGAGGCGGGACGGGUGAGUAAUGCUUGGGAAUCUGCCUAUUAGGUGGGGGACAACCCGGGGAAACUCGGGCUAAUACCGCAUACGCUCUACGGAGGAAAGCCGGGGACCGCAAGGCCUGGCGCUAAUAGAUGACGCCCAAGUCGGAUUAGCUAGUUGGAGGGUAACGGCCUACCAAGGCGACAAUCCGUAGCUGGUCUGAGAGGACGACCAGCCACACCGGAACUGAGACACGGUCCGGACUCCUACGGGAGGCAGCAGUGGGGAAUAUUGGACAAGUGGGGGCAACCCUGAUCCAGCGACGCCGCGUGGGUGAAGAA
rnacentral:rRNA from 1 species